rnacentral:rRNA from 1 species
GUGCCAGCCGCCGCGGUAAUACGGAGGGUGCAAGCGUUAAUCGGAAUUACUGGGCGUAAAGCGCACGUAGGCGGUUUGUUAAGCCAGCUGUGAAAUCCCCGGGCUCAACCUGGGCACUGCAGUUGGAACUGGCAAGCUAGAGUAUGGUAGAGGGGUGUGGAAUUUCAGGUGUAGCGGUGAAAUGCGUAGAUAUCUGAAGGAACAUCAGUGGCGAAGGCGACACCCUGGAUCAAUACUGACGCUGAGGUGCGAAAGCGUGGGGAGCAAACAGGAUUAGAAACCCUGGUAGUCC